rnacentral:lncRNA from 1 species
UGUCUUUGGUAAGGAGAGUAAUUUAAAAUGGUGAGGAUGAGCACAAUCUAAAAUGAGGUGAGUAAUCUACGAUGGUGAGGAGGAGAGAAAUGUACGACGGUGAGGAGGAGGAGAGUAAUCUAAAAUGGUGAGGAGGAGAGUAAUCUAAGAUGGUGAGGAGGAGAGUAAUCUAAGACUGUGACGAUGAUGAGAAUAAUCUAAGAUUGUGAGGUGAAGUAGAACAAUCUAAGAUUGUGAGGAGGAUGAGAGUCAUCUAACAUUGUGAUGACGAUGAGAAAAAUCUAAGAUUGUGAGGAGGCUGAGAAUAAUCUAAGAUUGUGAGGAGGCUGAGAAUAAUCUAAGAUUGUGAUGACGAUGAGAAUAAUCUAAGAUUGUGAGGAGGAGGGGAGUAAUCUAAAAUGGUGAUGAGAAGGGUAAUAUGGAGAUGAGGAGAGUAAUAUGGUGAUGAGGAGAGUAAUAUGUUGAUGAGGAGACUAAUAUGGAGGUGAGGAGAGCAAUAUGGCGGUGAGGAGAGUAAUAUGGUGAUGAGGAGACUAAUAUGGAGAUGAGGAGAGUAAUAUGGUGAUGAGGAGAGUAAUAUGGAGACGAGGAGAGUAAUAUGGAGAUGAGGAGAGUAAUAUGGAGAUGAGGAGAGUAAUAUGGCGAUGAGGAGAGCAAUAUGGAGAUGAGGAGAGCAAUAUGGCGGUGAGGAGAGUAAUAUGGUGAUGAGGAGAGUAAUAUGGAGAUGAGGAGAGUAAUAAAGAGAAUAGGAGAGCAAUAUGGUGAUGAGGAGAGUAAUAUGGAGAUGAGGAGAGUAAUAUGGCGAUGAGGAGAGUAAUAUGGAGAUGAGGAGAGUAAUAUGGAGAUGAGGAGAGUAAUCUAAGUAAUCCAAUAGGAGGCCAGAUGCAGGUUCAGAUGCAGAUUCUUAAAGUAACUUAAAGCAGCCGGCCUGGUAAAUUUCUAUGUUCAAAG